rnacentral:rRNA from 1 species
UUUGGUGAUUGAGUGGCGGACGGGUGAUAACGCGUGGUAACCUGCCCUGUACAGGGGGAUAACAGUCAGAAAUGACUGCUAAUACCGCAUAAGACCACAGCACCGCAUGGUGCAGGGGUAAAAACUCCGGUGGUACAGGAUGGACCCGCGUCUGAUUAGCUGGUUGGUGAGGUAACGGCUCACCAAGGCGACGAUCAGUAGCCGGCUUGAGAGAGUGAACGGCCACAUUGGGACUGAGACACGGCCCAAACUCCUACGGGAGGCAGCAGUGGGGAAUAUUGCACAAUGGGGGAAACCCUGAUGCAGCGACGCCGCGUGAGUGAAGAAGUAUCUCGGUAUGUAAAGCUCUAUCAGCAGGGAAGAAAAUGACGGUACCUGACUAAGAAGCCCCGGCUAACUACGUGCCAGCAGCCGCGGUAAUACGUAGGGGGCAAGCGUUAUCCGGAAUUACUGGGUGUAAAGGGUGCGUAGGUGGUAUGGCAAGUCAGAAGUGAAAACCAAGGGCUUAACUCUGGGACUGCUUUUGAAACUGUCAGACUAGAGUGCAGGAGAGGUAAGCGGAAUUCCUAGUGUAGCGGCGAAAUGCGUAGAUAUUAGGAGGAACAUCAGUGGCGAAGGC